UACGGGGGGGGCAAGCGUUGUUCGGAAUUACGUGGGCGUAAAGGGCUCGUUAGGCGGCCAACUAAGUCGGACGUGAAAUCCCCAGCUCAACCUGGGAACUGCGUCCGAUACUGGAUGGCUUGAAUCCGGGAGAGGGAUGCAGAAUUCCAGGUGUAGCGGUGAAAUGCGUAGAUAUCUGGAGGAAUACCGGUGGCGAAGGCGGCAUCCUGGACCGGCAUUGACGCUGAGGAGCGAAAGCCAG
rnacentral:rRNA from 1 species